CCCAGUGUUACAAUGAAGCUUGGCCCUGUACCCUCUCCCUGUGUUACAGUAUAGCCUGGCCCUGUACCCUCUCCCUGUGUUACAGUAUAGCCUGGCCCUGUACCCUCUCCCCUGUGUUACAGUAUAGCCUGGCCCUGUACCCUCUCCCCUGUGUUACAGUAUAGCCUGGCCCUGUACCCUCUCCCCUGUGUUACAGUAUAGCCUGGCCCUGUACCCUCUCCCCUGUGUUACAGUAUAGCCUGGCCCUGCACCCUCUCCCCUGUGUUACAGUAUAGCCUGGCC